CAGUCGCCACGGUAAUACAGAGGGUGCGAGCGUUAAUCGGAUUUACUGGGCGUAAAGCGUGCGUAGGCGGCUUCUUAAGUUGGAUGUGAAAUCCCUGAGCUUAACUUAGGAAUUGCAUUCGAUACUGGGAAGCUAGAGUAUGGGAGAGGAUGGUAGAAUUCCAGGUGUAGCGGUGAAAUGCGUAGAGAUCUGGAGGAAUACCGAUGGCGAAGGCAGCCAUCUGGCCUAAUACUGACGCUGAGGUACGAAAGCAUGGGGAGCAAACAGGAUUAGAUACCCCCGUAGUCCCUGUCUCUUAUAC
rnacentral:rRNA from 1 species